rnacentral:rRNA from 1 species
UACGUAGGGUGCAAGCGUUGUCCGGAAUCAUUGGGCGUAAAGAGCGUGUAGGCGGCCCGAUAAGUCCGCUGUGAAAGUCCAGGGCUCAACCCUGGAAUGCCGGUGGAUACUGUCGGGCUAGAGUCCGGAAGGGGCGAGUGGAAUUCCUGGUGUAGCGGUGAAAUGCGCAGAUAUCGAGAGGAACACCGGUGGCGAAGGCGGCCAACUGGACGAAUACUGACGCUGAGACACGAAAGCGUGGGGAGCAAACAGG